rnacentral:rRNA from 1 species
UACGGAGGGAGCUAGCGUUAUUCGGAAUUACUGGGCGUAAAGCGCACGUAGGCGGCUUUGUAAGUUAGAGGUGAAAGCCUGGAGCUCAACUCCAGAACUGCCUUUAAGACUGCAUCGCUUGAAUCCAGGAGAGGUGAGUGGAAUUCCGAGUGUAGAGGUGAAAUGCGUAGAUAUCGGGAGGAACACCUGUGGCGAAAGCGGCUCACUGGACGAGUACUGACGCUGAGACACGAAAGCGUGGGGAGCAAACAGG